UUUCCCUGCACAAGUAUGAGAACUUUCUUCAAUAAGCUGCGUGCAGGAUAUCAUGUUAAAAGUCUCAUGCAUGAAUAUAUGGCAUGCUGUCAUGGGUUCCAUGCAUGCAUGGAUGAUACAUGUGUGUGUAUAUAUAUAUAUAUAUAUAUCGAUCUAGCUUCUGCAAUUGAUAUGAUCUGUAUAUGAUACGAAUGGCAUUGUCGUGCAUGCAUGCAUGGCACCUUUGGCGAGUAUACAGACCUUCUUUUUAGAUUCCUGAGGUGCCUUUGGUGCGGCCUUCUUUGCAGACUUGGAUGCUGGAGCUUUGGUUGUACUAUCAGUACCUGGCUUGGCAGCUGGCAGCUCCUUCUUGGCCUGCCCAAACAGCUGUGUCCCCACAGGUUUUGUAGCCUUCACCGAAGCCAUAUUGUUCGAUCCAAAGAUUUAACAAACAAUCGAGAUGUAAAU